GACGAACGCUGGCGGCGUGCUUAACACAUGCAAGUUGAACGGAAAGGCCUGCUUUCCCUUGUGGAUUGCGGGUACUCGAGUGGCGAACGGGUGAGUAACACGUGAGUGAUCUGCCCCCAACUUGGGUAUAAGCCUGGGAAACUGGGUCUAAUUCCCGAUAGGACUGCAGGGUGGUGCCUGUGGUGGAAAACGAUUUUCUAGUGGUCGGGGAUGAGCUCGCGGCCUAUCAGCUUGUUGGUGGGGUAAUGGCCUACCAAGGCGGCGACGGGUAGCCGGCCUGGGAGGGUGGACGGCCACAUUGGGACUGAGAGACGGCCCAGACUCCUACGGGAGGCAGCAGUGGGGAAUAUUGCACAAUGGGCGGAAGCCUGAUGCAGCGACGCCGCGUGGGGGAUGACGGCCUUCGGGUUGUAAACUCCUUUCGACCGCGAGGAAGCCACCUGGUUGGAAGGGUGGUGACGGUAGUGGUAGAAGAAGCACCGGCUAACUACGUG
rnacentral:rRNA from 1 species